UUUUAUAGUUGUGGUGUUUAUUGAUUAGUGAAUGUUUCGAUCUAUAUGUGAAAAGAUCAGUGAUGUUUUUCAGAUCUGUUAUAAAAAAGAAGAUCGAUCUGAUUUUUAACUUCACUUUUUUGUUUUGUUUUCCAGGUUCUUUAGUUUUAGUUUUGAUCUCUGGGUUUCUAAAAGGAAUGUUCCGAUAUAUCAGAUUUGAAUUGCUUUUCCGGUUUUUGUUUUUAUGGUUAUUUCAUUUUUUUGGCUGUGAAUCAGAUUUCGGCAAGCUCUUCAUGGGAGGAAUAUUGUGGGACACGGAUGAGGAACGUCUCAGGGAGUAUUUUGAGACAUAUGGGGAGGUGAUUGAGGUUGUGAUCAUGCGGGAUUAUGCAACAGGACGUGCUCGUGGGUUUGGUUUUGUUGUGUUUGCUGAUCCUGCUGUUGCUGAAAGAGUCAUUGUCGAUAAGCACAUCAUGGAUGGCCGCACUGUGAGUUUCUAUAUUUGUAUGGAUUGAUAUAUUUACCAUCAGCAUUUUGUUCAUAUUACGUGUUUAGUCUGGUAAGUCUAAAAUAGCAUUGCAGAAACAUGCACUUUGAAGGAGUCUAAAGAAGUCAUCUAUAUAGAAAUAUCAGUCAAUUUUUGUUGCUGUUAUGUCAUGUUUGAAUCCAUGUGCUGAAUUGAUAGUAUUUGGAGUUGUUUUAAAUCAGAUCUUAAUUGUUCAUUAUGGAUGAUUUCCGCCCUGCUGAACUGAUGAAUUAGGUACGUAUUGUUCGAAUUAGUAUCGGCAUAUUAAUUUGUAAACGGGAACACGCAUGAAUCCAUUGACGGGUUGAGUAUUGAUUCAUAUUAAUUAUUACUCACGAGACAACCCUGUUUUGAUUUAUUAUAGAAUAAUUAAAGAUGGUGUGGUAUAAUCGUCGGGGACCUAUUACCGUUCUUUGAUAAGUACAAAAAGGUUGUUGACAUCUUCAUCCCCAAAGACCGAAGGAAGAAUGGUUGAUGGAGUGUCAAGCAGUGUCAAGAGUAGUUCAAGAUGCAGAGAAAAAUAAAGGCUAUGCAAGAGGGAAAGUUGUUGUAUCUGAAGCAGCAAAUGAAUCUGCUUAUGUUCUAGCUGAUUGUUGGAGGAAUUUAAAGUCUCGGUCGUUCAAA